rnacentral:rRNA from 1 species
GGGGAAUAUUGCACAAUGGGCGAAAGCCUGAUGCAGCAACGCCGCGUGAGUGAUGAAGGUCUUCGGAUUGUAAAGCUCUGUCUUUUGGGACGAUAAUGACGGUACCAAAGGAGGAAGCCACGGCUAACUACGUGCCAGCAGCCGCGGUAAUACGUAGGUGGCGAGCGUUGUCCGGAUUUACUGGGCGUAAAGGGUGCGUAGGCGGAUGUUUAAGUGAGAUGUGAAAUACCCGGGCUUAACUUGGGUGCUGCAUUUCAAACUGGAUAUCUAGAGUGCAGGAGAGGAGAAUGGAAUUCCUAGUGUAGCGGUGAAAUGCGUAGAGAUUAGGAAGAACACCAGUGGCGAAGGCGAUUCUCUGGACUGUAACUGACGCUGAGGCACGAAAGCGUGGGUAGCAAACAGGAUUAGAUACCCUGGUAGUCCACGCCGUAAAACGAUGAGUACUAGGUGUAGGAGGUAUCGACCCCUUCUGUGCCGCAGUAAAACACAU